UACGGAAGGGGCAAGCGUUGUUCGGAAUCAUUGGGCGUAAAGGGCGCGUAGGUGGUCCUGUGUGUCUAUCGUGAAAGCACACGGCUCAACCGUGUAAAGUCGGUGGAAACUGCAGGACUUGAGGUUGGGAGGGGCUGGUGGAAUUCCCUGUGUAGCGGUGAAAUGCGUAGAGAUGGGGGAGAACACUUGUGGCGAAGGCGGCCAGCUGGACCAAUCCUGACACUGAGGCGCGACAGCGUGGGGAGCAAACAGG
rnacentral:rRNA from 1 species